rnacentral:rRNA from 1 species
UACGAAGGGGGCUAGCGUUGCUCGGAAUCACUGGGCGUAAAGGGUGCGUAGGCGGGUCUUUAAGUCAGGGGUGAAUUCCUGGAGCUCAACUCCAGAACUGCCUUUGAUACUGAGGAUCUUGAGUUCGGGAGAGGUGAGUGGAACUGCGAGUGUAGAGGUGAAAUUCGUAGAUAUUCGCAAGAACACCAGUGGCGAAGGCGGCUCACUGGCCCGAUACUGACGCUGAGGCACGAAAGCGUGGGGAGCAAACAGG